rnacentral:rRNA from 1 species
GGACUACCAGGGUAUCUAAUCCUGUUUGCUCCCCACGCUUUCGCGCCUCAGUGUCAGUAUCGGCCCAGAAAGCCGCCUUCGCCUCUGGUGUUCUUCCUAAUAUCUACGAAUUUCACCUCUACACUAGGAAUUCCACUUUCCUCUACCGAUCUCUAGCGAGUUAGUAUUAAACGCAGUUCCUAGGUUAAGCCUAGGGAUUUCACGCCUAACUUGACUUGCCACCUACGCGCCCUUUACGCCCAGUAAUUCCGAACAACGCUAGCCCCCUCCGUCUUACCGCGGCUGCUGGCAC